rnacentral:SRP_RNA from 1 species
GCUGGGCAUGGUGGUGCACGCCUGUAAUCCCAGCUACUCGGGAGGCUGAGGUGGGAGGAUCACUUGAGGUCAGGAGUUCGAAACCAGCCUGGCCAACAUGGUGAAACCCCGUCUCUA